GAAGUCGUUACUCCAACCCUUGUGGAGGAGGACGUCGAAGGUGGGGCUGAUGACUGGGGUGAAGUCGUAACAAGGUAUCCGUACCGGAAGGUGCGGAUGGAUCACCUCCUAACAGGGAGACAAACAACGAUUUUGAUGUCUGAGUAAUUUAUUCUUAGGCCGAAAUCCUGUCACCUUAGGUCGAUCGGUACCUCAGCGUUGAAGCAACAGAGUUAACAGAAAUGUUGAUGCGUGUUGUGGAGAUGAUCAGUUCCUAAACUUUGUCUAGGUCACACCCCACAAGGGUUGAGUUUUCCUGGGCCAUUAGCUCAGGUGGUUAGAGCGCACCCCUGAUAAGGGUGAGGUCCCUGGUUCAAGUCCAGGAUGGCCCAUUCGGUGUUGGGGGUUUAGCUCAGUUGGUAGAGCGCCUGCUUUGCAAGCAGGAUGUCAGGAGUUCGAGUCUCCUAACCUCCACUGACCGAACUCGAUCUCCGGCUUUGCAUUGAAAGAUGGAGAGCCACUCGAUUGUGAUGUGUGAUUUAGAUGUGUCCGCUGGAUGACCCCAGCUUCCUGUCAUUCCAAAUUGAAGUAAAGGAUUUUACUUGAACGAAUUUGGUUGAUAAGAUGCUGGGCUCGAGUUCAGUGAUCAAGAGAUUGGUCAUUGGAUUUGAAGUCUGGCAGAACCUUGACAACUGCAUAGGUAAGUCUGGAAAAACAAAGCAUCUUACAGAUGCAUUGUUUUGAAUCUGAUCUUCUGAAAGGGAGAUUAGAUCUAGAACAAUGAAAAUUCUUUUGAGCAAGAGCCGAGACUCUUGAGCGUUCUUUGAUUCGUGUCGAGCGAAUCAGAGUUAGAUCUUGUUUUAGGAAUCAGCGAAAGUUGAUGAUUAAAACUUGAGAAUCUGCUUUCAACGGCGGUAAGCGUUCAGGAGAUUAAUUGGUCAAGCUACAAAGGGCUCACGGCGGAUACCUUGGCACACAGAGGCGAUGAA
rnacentral:misc_RNA from 1 species